CCGCGCAGGCCUAGGCGGUUGCGAACACCCGCCUUCUACUCCCCGCGCGCUGACUUCCGGUCUUUUUCUACGUCUAUUGGUCAAACUCUCUGACUAUCGCGUCACGACCUUAAAGUGGAUUAGUUGGCCUUAUGGUCAGUCAUAGUGACCCCUGACAAUGGGAGACUUCAUUGGCCCUCUAAAGUGUCGGUCACUUUGUCACAGGACGUCGCAUGGUACAAUUGGCCGGUAAGAGUACCAUUUAUCCCGCCUCCAUCUGAGGUGACGGGAAAGGGUUGGGGAAUUUCCACUUUUGAUAAAAAUGAUGGCUGAGGUGACGGACAAUUCGCAAGAAUUGGCGCGGAGACUGCGGCCAGAGGGUUGCUGCACGGGGAUUGGAGGAAGAAGCCGUCAGUCUCAUCUAGGCUCCACCUUCCCGCCAAGCCCUGGUUGGAGGAGCGGAGCGUCAGUCACUAGAGAGAUCACCCUUUUGGGACAGGUGAGGCUGCCUGACUUAAUCUGCCUUAGGCUCUUUGGGCUGGAGGAGGGGGCCAGAAGAGGUGAGGGCCCGGGCUGGUCCUGCGCUGCACCCCUCCCGCUUUCCCAACAGGAGCCCAGCGCGCGAAGCUGAGGCGACCGUGGGUGCUGUUUGCCAUGGCCGCCCGGAGGCGAUUCGGCCCGCCCGCGCCCCGGGACGUGGCUGGGCGCGGCAGUUCUACAACCUCCGGGCUGGAUCGCCCCGCGGGGCCGCGUUCUCUUGCUUGUGGAAGGCGGCGGGCCUGAGGGCUGGACAGCGCCAUGCCUCAGUACUGGGAACUGUCCCCACGAAAGAAGGUGGGAAGGCGGCGAAGAGCGAGCGGAGUCAGACCGCGGGACAGAGGUUCAGAGUGCGUGUUCUGGAGCAGUUUCGAGUUUUGGUGCCGUCGCUUACUUGCUGUGGGACUUCUGGGCGUUUGUCGUUUAAUCUCUGAUUUUUUAGUUGGUUCACCUGUAAAAUGCGAGUCAUAUUAGUACCUCCUUCAUUGGGUUGCUGUUAUGAAUAAACUAGGUAAUAAUAACAAGGCGCUUAGCAAAGUGCCAAACUUAAAAAACUCAUUUUGUUAGCUACUCUUACUUCAAGAGCCCUCCAUCUGCCCCUGGGUCCUGCCAACCAAACUAAUUCAUGUCAGGUCCCUGUGAUGCAAAAACAAGGCGAGCUAAAGGGAUCUUUCCUCUCCUAGAGAUCUCUAACUCAGUUAUCUUCAUCUCUUUCUCUCAUUUGUCAAUAAAGAGGUGUUUAAAAAUG